rnacentral:rRNA from 1 species
CGAGAGCAAGCGGACCUCAUAAAGUGCGUCGUAGUCCGGAUUGGAGUCUGCAACUCGACUCCAUGAAGUCGGAAUCGCUAGUAAUCGUGGAUCAGAAUGCCACGGUGAAUACGUUCCCGGGCCUUGUACACACCGCCCGUCACACCAUGGGAGUGGGUUGCAAAAGAAGUGGGUAGCUUAACCUUCGGGAGGGCGCUUACCACUUUGUGAUUCAUGACUGGGGUGAAGUCGUAACAAGGUAAC